AGUCAGUUGAAACAGUUUUGAGUUUAAUUGAUCGAAUUUCGUGUCUCUGGAAAAUAGCCUAUGAUAUUGUAGCUAUUUGUAAUAUCAAAAGUUUUUGAGUCUAUUUGCUAAUAAGGGAUUUAUGGACACAUUGUUUUUAGAUUUGUGUACAAAAAUAUAUUGUUUUUAUUUUGAGCUGAAAAGAAAAAGGGUUGGAAUUGGGACAUUUUUAUUUUGAUAUUUUUAUGUAAUUCAUGGGGUUAUUAUUCAGUAAUUGCAUGAGUUAGAUGUACAUUUCUUCACUAGUCAUUAAAGCAUAUAGAUUUUUAUUUCAUGGUAUUUUGUUUGUAUGUUCUUGUAAAGCGCUUCGAGAUGCUACUUUUAAAGGCUCUAUAUAAAAUAAAGUCUAUUAUUAUUAUUAUAGGCUAAUUAAGUGAAAUAAUUCAAUUUGAAUUCACAUUGUUAUUAUGGCAUACCUUCAAUUAAAAAUAUGGACAUAUUUGAAAUUUAAAACUUUGUGUUAUAGAACUAAAUUAACAAAUGUUUCUAUUUAUUUCCCUUAACAACACAUUGGAUGAUGCAUCAUCAUCCUGCAUGCUAUUUUAUAUUUAUUUUUUAUCUAAAUAAGUGGACAUCUUCCCCAAUCUUAUAAUAAAUAUAUUGCACACCCAUUUGCCUUCUUGCAGACAAUUACAAUUCAUGGAUAAAUUGAAGGACACAUGAACUUCUGUCUCCAUACAGCUCAGCAGCUUUAUUUACAAAAAAAAUAAAAAAUCACAAUCGAUGUUAAUAUAGGCAAUAAUACAUUAAAACAAAAUAAUAUGUUUAAAAAUGAUUUACAUGGUAGUAACGAAUAUUCAGAAAUAAUUUUCAUCAAAUUGAUAAAACAAGAAAAAAUAGGCACAUGCGACACAUUUACAUUGUAGUUAAUUUAACCCUUCAUCAUCCGGUCGGCUGCAUCAUGGCAGUUAUUAAACAAAAGUUUGUACUCCGCUCCUCCAGCCUUCACGAAAUCAGACACCGUCUUUUGCUCCCACGAAAAACAUUUUGUUCUUUAAACUGUUUAAUUAAAAAAAACAAAACAAAAAAAACAAUGGUUAAACAAAGACCAAACUUAUUAGAGUGCAUCAGUUGUUAAAUCAAUUCAUGGGUCUUAUUUUAAAAACAUAAACUUUCAUACAUUUAAAAGGAUGUUAUUACUGUAUAUUCACAUCAAUAAAUACAAUAAUUUGUUUUAUCUGUUGCACAAAUAUGAGCGUUGCAAAAUACUUGCCUUCCAAUUACUGCUCAUAUGAUGGCCAUACAACAACGGUCUGGAUUUGCCAUAGUUGUUUCCUUUCCGUAAAUCUUCCAGAAUUACUCUAAAAGCAGAACCAGCAGACAUGCAAGUGUAAUUACAUUUAAGUACUGAGCCUUUUGUUCACCAUAAUGCAUAUAACAAAAGAGGAAAAGAGGCACAAAAUCACUUUCACAGACAUACCUUGAUUGUUCCCUGCUGGUGGAAUGACCUGCCUAAUUCAACCCGAGCAGCUGACGCUUUAGCCAUUUUCAAGAAACGGCUAAAGACAAAUCUUUUUCAUCAACAUUUGACCCAUUAAUAACUUACUAUAACUUACUCUAUUCUUUUUCUAUUCUAUUUUAUUUAUUCAUUUGUUAAUUAAAAAAAAAAAGGAUUGCUACAUGUAGGCUACUGUGCUAGAUUAACUGGACUUGUCACAGCAACUUGUCAUAUAGCAACUUUGUGCCGGCCCAAAUCCGGCAUACAUCUGCCAUGCGUGGUAUGAUGAUCUGGACCACAUGUGGCGUGGAAUGAUGGCACUUGGAUGGACCGCUCUUGUUUGCCAGAUCUGAGCCACAAGCAGGCUAUAGCAAUACCACAUGUCAGCCAAGAGCAAAGAAAUAAAAAAGAAUUUGGACCUUAUCUGAGCCACAAAAUCUUUAUAUAUUUUUUAUAGAAUCAUCUUAGCAUUAACAAACCUGUUAACAAACAGAAUCACUGAAGGAAAGAAGAGAACAGAAAAAAGAGACAAACAGAAAUAGAACUGACUUCAGCCACAGCCUUAGAUUAAAUCAACUGAAGAUAAAAGAAGACAUUAAACCCCUCCAGAUCUCAGCAGAAGAAGAUUAAACAACUCCACAAACAGUAAAAAAAAAAAUUGCAUUGAACCAUUAAUACAUUUGAACUACAAACCCUUUUACUACUGCAACGUGAAAUCACAGUGUACUGCAGAAAUCAGUUAGAAAAUUUUAUAUAAAAAAAAAAAAAAAAAACCAUGCGCUACACUGACAAACACAGAUAUGAGCAAUCAGCAUAUGAAUCUCAACAAUGGUGACAACAAAAUAUUCAGACAAUCUGAUCAACUCUGGACAUCACAAAAAGCUACUAAAAGACAGAACAAAAACCACAGCAAAAAUAAAAGCAAAUAGUUAGAAUUAAACAAACUAAUAGGACAAUUCAGCUGCAUAAUUUAUUCAUGCUGUGAUGCAUGCUGGGAGUUUUGUACUAUUGUUCCCAGCAUGCAUUGUGGCAUGAAAAUUUUGUCACCUUUGUUGAGAUUCAUGUGCUGAUUCUUUAUGUCUUUGUGUGUCAUCUUAAAACCUUCUUUUGUGUGUUUUUUUAUUACACUUUUUGAUCGGUUUUAUUUCAUUAUAAGAUUUCAUUGACAGUUGGUUUUGUUUCGUAACGCGAGUUCAAAGAUGAUCAGUCUUGUUCUAUUAUGAGAUUUCAAAAACGGUCGGUUUUGUUUCUUUACAAAAUUUCAAUGAUCGUUGAUGUUGUUUCUUUACGAGAUCUCAGUGGUUGACAGUUUUGUUUUAUUCAGUUGUGAGAUUUCAAUGAUGGCGGUUUUAUUUAGUGAUGAGAUUUCAGCGUUUUUGUUCGGUUUGUGCGAUUUUGUUCGGCUACGAGAUCUCAAUGACGGUCCACUUAAGCCAUAACUGACUGCAUUUACAUGAGAUACUCCACAAGAUGGACAUUUUGACGACUGUGUGUGCAUUUGACCAUUCAGGCGCAAGGAGAACUGAGCGCACGCUGUCUGAGAGAAAUGGAUGCUGCUGCCUUAUUGGGAGAAUGAAAACCUUCCCAACACCUUCCCCUAAAUAAAUACUUCUACUAUUAUUAAACACUCAUUAGGCAGUUUAUUUCCACUUUUUGAACAUUAUUUUCAUUUUUAUCGAAAAUAAAUACAUUUCUGAUGUGAUAUGUGAUUGGAAAAUGGUUAAGAGCAAUCUCGGCAAAACGCGGAUUCGAACCUACGUCAAUCGCGUUAAAAGCCAGGUUUGGGAGCCUUAUGCGCUAUUGUUGCGCCACUGAAGUUUUUGAAAUCUGCGCAUAUUUUUAGGCAGAAGUAAUGUAAAUAGUGUUUGCCAACAAGGGAUGCUAUUUGCAGUUAGUGUAAAUAGACACUCCUUUUUUUUUUGAAUUCACGAGAUCUCAAUGAUUGUUACGGUUUAACUGGUUACCGUGUUAAGUUGUGACCAAACCAUAGGACCAAACGCCAGAUGUGAACGAUCGGCCGCAGAUUCGUCAGUACCAAAAGCCUGUGCAAUUCGUCCAUUACAAUUAAACAUGCCCUACAUUAUGCUGGUAUUAUUGUAAAGAUUACAAUAAAUAACAUUUAUUGCGUGUAAUGGUAAAAAUUUGUUAGAUAAAAAAUUUGUUACAAAAACACCAAUAAAGUCAUAUUUAUUAUGGGAUUCGAAAUGCGUCAUAAAGGAGCAAUCAGCUUAAUGUUAAAGCGUCACGAUGAGUUAUUGUUUAAGCUCACAAAGUAGAAAGUUGUUGAUUUACAAAUCAUUCAAAAAUCUUCUUUGUUUCUUUAUGAGAAGGGCUGGGCUCAUGUUAGCUUGUACCUCACGCUCACAAGCUGAUAUCACAUUACAUUGUACGAUACUUGAAUGGCAUUUUCUCGGCAAAACGCCGCUCCCCCAAAUAUUACACAACAUAAUAGCCUACUUCAUUAAUCACCCAGUCUUUCGAUGAAGACGUUUAUUCACGUUUAUUAUGUAUUCUGCAUAUGUCUUGUGCAAUGCAAAGGGCAGUUGUUAAUGUUUAUGUAUAAAGUAGGUUAUGUCGUGUAAUAUUUGGGGGAGCAGCAUGCGUUUUGACGAGAAAAUGCAUUCCAUACAAUUAAUGUGACUAUGCUAUAUAUCAGCUUGUGAGCGUGAGGCACUUUGAUUUGUACAUCAAUAUCUUCACGUAUUCUAUCGCAGUUCGAUAGCUCAUCGCGAUAAGACGUUAAGCUGACUGUUUUUUUGUUUGUUUGUUUGUGUUUUGGACGCAGUUCGAGUCCCCUAACAAUAUGACUUUAUUGGCGUUUUUGUGAAAAAAAAAAAAACUUUUUCCAUUACAAGUAAAGAAAUCUCUUAGGCCUAUUUGUUUAAUCUCUACAAUAAUACCAGCACCAUGAAGUGCAAAUAUUUAAUUGUAAAAUUCAUCUUUGUAUCACAGAAAUAAAUAGCCUAAUAUUUUAAUAUUAAAAUAGAAAAACCAUUCUUUUAAAUUGAACUAAUAUUUUACAAUAUUACUGUUUUUCUGUAUUUUUGAUCAAAUAAAUGCAGGCUUGACGAGCAUGAGACUUCUUUCAAAAACAUUAAAAAUAGUAAUAGAAAAAAAAUAGAGUGCUUCCAUGUAAGUUGUAAGAACUAAAUGAAGUAUAUAAUUUGUGAUGUGAAACUAACUAACUAACUACGUGUGUGAUGUAAUGUAGGGAUUAUUUUUUGCCCCAGGGUUACACCCCUUAUUUUCUGGGGUUUAUUUUAACCCUUUAUUCAGUACAGCUUAUUGCGACUGUACUGGGGCGUUGGGCGGUAUGUAUGGACUGUUUUCACCAGGGUUACACCCCUUAUAUUCUGGGGUUUAUGUUAACCCUUUAUACAGUACAGCUUAUUGCGACUGUACUGGGGCGUUAGGACCCACUCAGGCCACAGGUUGAUCAGACCCGCGGGCCUCUCUAACACCUCUUCCUGCAGCUACUCAGUCUACCAGGAGGUCUCCCAUCCAGAUAUAGACCGGGCUCAACCCUGCUUAGCUUCAGUGGGUGUGCAGGUGAAAGCUUCAGGUUGACCGCCGCUGCAGGCGGUCAACGUGCAGCACCUUUCCAACCAUAGACCUUCUUACGUAGCAAAAAUGUAUGGGAAUAUACUGCAAAAUAUAAUGUGAUAUAUUACAUAUACAUUUCCGUAUAUGGGAUUGGGAAACUAUAGCCUAGCGCUUAAAUUUUUCAAUGUACGGCACAAAAAGAAUUGGAACGCAUGAGUGAGACUGUUACGGCGGGAUGAAGGUCCUUUUUAAAAUAAUACACGGGAGUACGUUCGUGUGCAGUAGGCAUAUGCAUUUCCAAACGAAAAAUGUUUACAUUUCUUCAACCUGUCGCUGAAAUGUUUCUACAAAUAUAUUUCCCUUACAAAUGUACACCUUAAUAAAAAUAAUUAAAAAAAAAAAUAAUUCCCACUUGUCUUUUCAUUAACAGAUCGGCGAUUUUUUUGUAAAAUUCUUUACACAGUAAUCAUCAGAACAUCUCCUCUCCUGUCUCUGAAAAUAUUCGGAAUUUGAAAUCAUCCUGUAGAAGCUCAUAUUGAAAAUUAGUGAUGGGACGGUUGUUACCGGGGCUCCGAUGCUCCGACGCAGUAAGCACACUGUACUGACGCUUGUAUCGAAAUGACAAUACCACGUGAUUACCAUGCAGUAUCGGAAAAUCGGGAGGGCUGGUUUGAAAAAAUGGCGCUUCACCUUAUGCGUAAAAGGAAAUGCAUUUAAUUAUGUUUUAUUGCUGGGGGCUCAGAGACGCCGAACAGAACAUAAGGGUUAAACAGCCAAAAUAUUUUUUCAACUGUCCUGUCAAUUAUGAUCACAUCAUUAUUUUAUAUUAUUGAUCAAUAUGUGAAUCCAUUGACCAGGCUAGAGUUGUGGUCUCAUUGUCACAAAUUAAUUUAGAUGAGAUCAGGUCAGAUUAGAUAGAACUGUAUUGAUCCAAGACAAGAGUGAUUCUGUAUGUCAGGGAUUUCCGAAGCUUUGUUUGGUCACGUGCUUUUUCAAACCGUAGAUCUGCUCCCCGAUUUGUUAGAUAUGGUGGAGAAAACAAGUCUGACCACCAGAUGUCGCUAAUGCGCACUGUGUUAAAAGCUUCGAGUAAUGAACUGUUUUUCGACACAAUUUGAUGAAAGCCUCAAACGCUUCAGAAAGCCUCGGUUUCCCAUCACUAGUAUUAAUAUAGGGGGAGAUGUGUUAGUGUUUAAUGUUCUAUUAUUUUGGAAUUUAAAAUGGUUUCUGGUAUGAAUAAGUUUUUGGGGUUACCAUUGUGCUGAAGGGUAGAGCCUGUGGUUAGGGUGAAGUACCAACAUGUGUUUGUUGUGUAAAGACAAGCAAGAUUGUGAUUGUUUGUUUGUUGGUGUAUGGUGAAGUACAUAUAACUGUGUACAUACGUGUUUUUGUUAAUUAAAUAUGUGAAGCAAACGCACGGUAAGCUUUAUAAUAUUAAAGUAGACAGAAUAUAAAUGGUGUAGUGCUUUAUAAAUUACAGUAUGCGUAUGUAACUACUGCUUGUGCUCAAACUCAAUUCUUGGAGACCAACAGCUCUGCACAGUUUUGUUCCAACCCUAAUAAAAGACACCUGAUUUGUAACUGACACCCGAGUGUCUCAAUAUGCCUAUUUGAACAGUAUACACUUUUGGAGUUUGUUUAGAUCAGAUUAUUGGAAAGGUCAAACUUGUAAGGGAUGUUCUCUGAAGAGAUUCAGUGUGACUAAUAAGUAGAUUAUUCCCUGAAUGUACACCAUCGCUAACUUUAAAAUAAUUUGAGGUUUAAAUGAACUAGCCUAUAUAAAUUAGCCUAGGAAAUAAGAAAAUUAUGCAGACAAUGUAGUAAGUGAUUACUUGUACGUUAAGAAAAAAUGAACAAGAUCUGUAAAUGCAUUGUACUUUGGAUUCAGCCACCACACUCAAUAUGGCCAAGAGAAGCAGACCCAGUGCAGUCUUGAAGGACAUCAUGGUUCACAGCAAACAAAAGCUUUUGAGAAUCUGAUGAGAUUUUGUUACGAGCAUUUUAUAUAUCCCUGGGAUCCCUCCCUUUACCAAAAGCUUAAUUCAUUGCUGAUUCAUCUAAACAAACAUGACAUGCAGAGGCUGUGCUUUGGGCAAAUGCAGGACUGCACAGUAUCAUAAAAGAACUCCCUUGGAAAACACUGGUUUGUUUAUGUCAGUAAACAAACUGAAUAUUUAUGUACAGAAAAAUUAAACUUAAUUGCAUAAAUAUUUGCGUAUACACUAAUUGCAAAUAGUGAUAGAUGUUAUUCACAAAAAGAGGAAAACUGAAGUGAUAUGCUGUUUGUACUGAAGGUAAAAUAUCUGAGCAAUACUGGACAGAGUUAGUGUAAAUAGCUAAAUAAAUUUGCCAAGAGGUUGGCUACUGUAUUGUAAAUAGCUACUGCUUAAUAAUUAUUCUGACUGUAUCCCAUUUGUUAUGAAAUACCUUACCCAAGAUCAGAUAAUUUGAUCAGAGGAAGAGUUGUUGUAGUAGAGUGUUGUUGCUAUGCUGUCAUUUUACGGCGGACUGUUCCACAAACGAGGGUCAAUUCAAUGCUGGAUUUGCACAAAAUAUUAACAUUACGGCUAGUCGAUGGGUUGAAUCAACUCCACACUACAUAAAUGUAUCCACUAACCAUUCAGAAACAUGCAGUUGCAUUCUAAAAGUUGUAACUUCUUCCUGUGUCUCUCUUUCAGUGUCCGACUCCGGUUUGAACAAUGUAAGGCUGAACACUGCUACUGACAAUCGUCAUUUUGGCUGCGUGAGAUUCUCCAGCUUUGUUGUUGUUGAGCAACUGAAGCACAAGCUUUUAAAGCUCCGCCCUCUUCUGGAAAGCGGCCAGGAGCAGCGGCUCAUUUGCUUUUAAAGGGACACGUAAAAAUGGCGUGUUUUUGCUCACACCCAAAUAAGGGCAAAUUCGACAAGCUAUAAUAAAUGAUCUGUGGGGUAUUUUGAGCUGAAACUUCACAGACACAUUCUGGGGAUACCAGAGACUUAUACAGUAUUACAUCUUGUAAAAGGGGCAUUGUAGGUCCCCUUUAAUAGAAAAAUUCUCAGAAGUUUAGAAGCUCCCUCUGACAGUUCGAGAAUUUUGUAUACUUUAUUGCUCAAGUAAUCUUAAUCUCCACAUUUGUGUUAUUCUGCUGGCAAAUGGAAAGUAAAAAAAGUCAAAAUUGCUUGCCACAACUAAUCUAAAAGGGGUAAAAUGAACAAAAAAAAAAAAAAACAGUAUUCAAGUACAGGCGAGCAAGAACACAAUAAAUAGUUAACGUAAAAUAUUUAUCCAAAACAAUUAACUUUAUUUCUGUGCUUGCGCACCGAUGAUAUGCGAUUAAUGCUUGUUUUUUGAUAAUAUACGACUAAUCACUAGUGUUUUGUUUGUUUUGUUGUAAAGAGACAGAACCAUUGUAGUAUGUUCAGCUCGUAACCUCUGUUGUAAUGUGAACUGUCGUUUAAUUGAUAAUUUGUUUUCUACAUGUGACUCCAAAUGGCUAUAAACAUAAUUUGAAUUUGAAUUUAAGGAAGUGAAAUAAAAAAAUGUUAACAUUUAAUUGUUCUGUAUGACCGAUACAAGUGUCUUACUUAUAGGCUUCAAACAACACGGGGUAUUUCUUAGAAACAUUAUGUGAUAUUAAUCCAUGUUUAACAUGAUAAAUAUAAUUUUUUUUAUUAAAUAUAUACUUCAUUAUAUUUAAUAAAUUAUUUUUUAUUUUAUGGAAACUUUAGCCUAUUGUUAAUUUCCAGUAAUGCUCUAAUUUACCCCAAACUAUUCAAAAUAGAGAUCAAAAUCAGUAGAUUAAAAAUUUGGUGUCAAUGUUUUUAAUUCAUUUUAAUCAAUCAGUAUUUCAAAGUUAUAAGAAAACAAUGUGAUGAACAUUUUGUGGACAUUUUAUUUAUGUUUUAAUGCACAACUCCUGCACAACUCCUCUGUUGUGCAUUAACUCCUCUGUUGUCCUCUGUUGUCCUCUGUUGUGUGACUUUGUUCAAUUUCUUUGAUUUGGAGUGGCUAAAUGUAACAGAAACUCAAGCACAAUGGUAUUAUUUUUAAAAGCUCAUGAUACUGCACCCCACAGCGAAUAGCUGCCUGCAUUAUUUUAUUUUAUUUUAUUUCUCAGAGCUUAGGCAAUCAGCAGCGAUUGACAUGACCACCAAUGAAAUCUGAGAACACACCUUUGUCGCCAUCUGCAGCUCAGAUGAAAAAGUCUAAAUAAGUCAUGAUUGAUCUAAAAAGUCUAAUAUUAGCCUACAAAUUUCAAACCAUUUAAGAUUUGAGUCAUUUCAAUAUUGUGUCUG